rnacentral:rRNA from 1 species
UUUAUAUAGGGGGGGCACGCUUUUUUUGAUUUUUUAUGGUUAAAACGCGCAUAUGGUUUUCCCCAAAAGGGACUAGAGUUUGAUCCUGGCUCAGAUUGAACGCUGUCGGCAGGCUUAACACAUGCAAGUCGAGCGGAUGAAGGGAGCUUGCUCCUGGAUUCAGCGGCGGACGGGUGAUUAAUGCCUACGAAUCUGCCUGGUAGUGGCGGAUAACGUCCGGAAACCGGCGCUAAUACCGCAUACGUCCUGAGGGAGAAAGUGGGGGAUCUUCGGACCUCACGCUAUCAGAUGAGCCUAGGUCGGAUUAGCUAGUUGGUGGGGUAAAGGCCUACCAAGGCGACGAUCCGUAACUGGUCUGAGAGGAUGAUCAGUCACACUGGAACUGAGACACGGUCCAGACUCCUACGGGAGGCAGCAGUGGGGAAUAUUGGACAAUGGGCGAAAGCCUGAUCCAGCCAUGCCGCGUGUGUGAAGAAGGUCUUCGGAUUGUAAAGCACUUUAAGUUGGGAGGAAGGGCAGUAAGUUAAUACCUUGCUGUUUUGACGUUACCAACAGAAUAAGCACCGGCUAACUUCGUGCCAGCAGCCGCGGUAAUACGAAGGGUGCAAGCGUUAAUCGGAAUUACUGGGCGUAAAGCGCGCGUAGGUGGUUCAGCAAGUUGGAUGUGAAAUCCCCGGGCUCAACCUGGGAACUGCAUCCAAAACUACUGAGCUAGAGUACGGUAGAGGGUGGUGGAAUUUCCUGUGUAGCGGUGAAAUGCGUAGAUAUAGGAAGGAACACCAGUGGCGAAGGCGACCACCUGGACUGAUACUGACACUGAGGUGCGAAAGCGUGGGGAGCAAACAGGAUUAGAUACCCUGGUAGUCCACGCCGUAAACGAUGUCGACUAGCCGUUGGGAUCCUUGAGAUCUUAGUGGCGCAGCUAACGCC